UAGGGGACACAUGUCACCCAUCUAGAGCCUCAAAAUCUCAUUUUCCCGCCAUUUUCCUAAUCUCUUGAUUUUCCUUAUGUAAUACCCGACGCGGGAUCCGAAUAAGCAAUUUGGGUCACUUAUUGUUCCUUCCAUCAUACGUCUCUCUUCUCCAUCUCUAAUCUUCAUUCACAUCCUAGGGUUUAUGCAACUUCAUUCGCACCUAUAUCCUUCUCAUCCAAUCGCAUCCAUUCGCACAUCAUUCUGCCGACAUCUUCCGAAACCUAAUGGAUCCUUCAGUCGUUCAAUCUGUCGUUCCAUCCAAGCCUAUACAAUCCAAUGUUCCAUCAGGUACGAUUCCUUUCCUCACAAAACCUAAUCCAAAAAAUUAUGCUCUGUCUGAAAUGUCGCUGCCAAAAUCUUAUCAAGGUGAGUUUAUAUGAUUUCAAUUACAAAAUCAUCGUCACAAAUCUCUUGGAUUUUUCUUAAUUUAGAACUUUACAACGUUGAAUUUCACCGUACAUAACGCAAGAUGGAUUGAGAUUGCUUAGCGAACAAAACCCUAAUUCAGAGCUAUGGAAGGGUCCUUUACCUGAUGUUGGAAGGAAUCUAAUUUUGAUGUUGCUAAUUGGGGCUAUAAAGUGUAUAUAUAGGGGCGGUCUGGUACCUGUGAUUUUUGGUCAUAAAACCCAAAAUUGCAAGGCCUGGUAGGGUUCCCGUUACCACCUGCGUGUGGGAUUGUGACGGGAAGUCAGUUGCACGUGGUAUUGGUGAUGACUCUAUACAGAUAUGGAGUAUAUAGCCUGGGAGGGAAAAUCGACCAGACAUUUAUGUAGCCAGUGACUAAAAGAAAUAAAUUACAGUUGUAUAUCAACACCAUAUUUGUCUUUUGAUGCAGGAAAUCAAGUGCUAUAGUUGAAGGUUAACAAGUAGGUUCCUCAUUCGACAAAGGAACAACAUGUUGGAAGGGUGCAGGAUAUUCAAGGAGCUCUACAAAUGAGAAAAAUGUACCUCCCAUCUAGAAGUGAGUCUAAUAUGUUGAUUAGGAUAAACUAUAUUAUAGGUUGCAUUGAAGUUUCAACACAAAAGCAACAAAGGAUGUAACAAUGAACCACCAUAUGAAUGGCAAGUUUACAAGUGAGCCUAUCAAAGCAACAGUGUUCAUGUGAAGAAGACUACCAACAGCGAUCAAGAAGAGUAACAGCCAAUGAAACAGCAUUAAUCAGUAGAUCUACAAUAGCGAGUCAAAAUCGAUUAAGCUGGCUCUGGUGUCCCUUUUUUAAUCAUAACGAAGCCAAAGAAUAUUGCAACUUGGUCAAUUAAACAAAGUUGUACGGAUCAAUGCGCUUAGUAGACGUGGUGAAGACAAGAACGAAUCAGAACCUAUGUGGUGCGGAAGAAGCCUGUGUGAAGUCGAGCAAUAACUAUGUGAACAACACCUAUUGAAUAUGUGUUAUAUUGGUUUGAGCCAAAAUCAAGAAUCCGAUAUGCGUGAAGAAAUUAAAUCCGUAUGAUAAGCGGCAACCUAAGAUCUUUUUAUGCAUUUAAAGUAAAAUUCGAGUUGCUGUCAACCCAUUUUUCCAUACCAGUUAGGACAAUGAACUAAGGGGAACUUUGCAGUCACUUGCUUGUGGGAAAAUCUGCGUCCUUCAAAAGAGAGUUUUUAGCGGAUGAAGGUGAAUCCACCGAUGAGGAGGUCGAGCAAGAGGCGGUUAGAGUGCUUGUCAACUAGCGGUGCGAUAUAUGAAGCAUUGUAGCCGGCCUGAACGUGAAAUUAAAACAAGAGAUUAUAUUGAACGAGACCGACGUGCGGCAAACGAUCGGUUGAUGAAAGAUUAUUUCGAUGAAGCGCCAACAUAUCCGAACCCAUAAGUUUUUAGGCGUCGUUUCCGGAUGAGUAAGCGUUUGUUUCUACGCAUCGUCGAGGACUUUGAAAACAACUUCGAUUAUUUUAAACAAAAAGUGGAUGCGAAAGGGACACUUGGAUUCACCGGUAUUCAAAAGUGUACGUCGUCGCUACGAGUCCUUGCUUACGGAAACACGACCUGUUGGAACCUGAAGGUUUAUGCAUAGAGGGUUAUAAUAGUUCAAGGGCUGAUUAUGUGAUAUUUUGUUUUGUUUAUGGUUUGGGUCGAAAACUUGUAUGUUGGGUCUAGAAGGUUUCGAGUGGGCUUUAGGGGUUUCGACCCACUUAUGUUUAGUAUAUAAGUUCACCUCAUUCUCUAUAAUGAGGUUGAUCACUUUGUGAAAGCUUAGAGCCAGCCGAAACCUAGAAGGAGUCUUGUAUCAGUCACCGUUUACCGUUGAAUGCAAGAUAUUCUGGUUUGUUUUGAUUACAUAUUGUUUCGGUUUUAUUAUAAGUCUUGAAUCAUCUUGUGUUUGUUUUCCGCACUCACACAAGAUCAAGUUUGAUAUCAUUGAAAGAUCCCUACGGGACUUACACGACCGACAUCAACGACGAGUAUUUAAAAAUGAUCAAGAAAACAACGCAAGACACCUUGGAGCAUUUUUGUCGCGGUAUUAUAAAUUUGUACGGUGCGCGUUAUCUGAGAACGCCCAGUUGGUACGACCUUCAAAAGAUUUACGAGGUCCAUUAUAAUGAGCAUGGUUUGCCGGGUAUGAUCGGGAGCUUGGAUUGUAUGCAUUGGCGUUGGGAUAACUGUCUGACCGCAUGGCGAGGUCAACACACACUGGGUGACCAAAAAGGACCUACUUUUAUUCUUCUGGCGGUUGCCUCAUGGGAACUUUGGGUUUGGUUGGCUUACUUUGGCGUGGUCGGGUCAUGCAAUGACAUAAAUGUUUUUGAACAAUCUCCGUUGUUAGAGGACUAUAUUUCUGGCAGAGUUCCAAAAACGUCUUUCUACUCAAACGGAAACUACUAACCCCAUGGAUACUAUUUGUGCGACAGAAUUUAUCCUAGGUAUUUGAUUGUCGUGAAGACUUUUAGUGAUUCGUUCGAUGAAAAAAGAGCACACUUUAAAAAGGUUCAAGAGUCUGCGCGGAAAGACAUUGAGAGAUGCUUUGGGGUUCUUAAAGAACGAUAACAAUAUUUGAGAAAUCCUUGUCGUGCAUGGACCAAGCAAAAAAUGAGAGAUGCUAUGUACGCUUGUAUAAUCAUGCACAACAUGAUUUUGGAAGACGAAAGAAAGGCGAUAUGCCAGAAUUAUGUACCGGAGGCCGUUCAGGAGGAGCAUCUGCAAGCGUCAAUGGAAGAAAUAGUGAAUAAUGCACGAGAAUUGCAUUACGAAACCCACCAUUCCGCGUUAACGGUUGAUCUGGUACAACACGCAUGGCCGACUCGGUAUAUCCGAGCUGAGGAAGACGAAGAUGACGAGAAUGACAAAAGCGAAGAUGAAAAUUAAUGUAUUUUUUUAAGUAUGAUCGUUUUUAUUUUUUUAUUUUUAAUAUUGUAAUUUUUUUAUUUAAUGAAAUAUUAUUAGUUUUUAAAUUUAAAAAAAAA